UACAGAGGGGGCAAGCGUUGUUCGGAAUUACUGGGCGUAAAGGGCGCGUAGGCGGCCUGUUAAGUCGAACGUGAAAUCCCCGGGCUCAACCCGGGAACUGCGUCCGAUACUGGCAGGCUUGAAUUCGGGAGAGGGAUGCGGAAUUCCAGGUGUAGCGGUGAAAUGCGUAGAUAUCUGGAGGAACACCGGUGGCGAAGGCGGCAUCCUGGACCAACACUGACGCUGAGGAGCGAAAGCCAGGGGAGCAAACGGG
rnacentral:rRNA from 1 species